UUCUUACUGAGAGUUUCGUUCUUCCCUAGCAUUCUUCUCGGCCUUAGGCAUUCUUCGAGUCGUCCCCAUCUCUACAUCUCUGCAUCCUUCAGACCAGCUUAGGUUAGUUCCAGAACUCCCUCUUUUUUUUUUGUGGCUCUGUUUCUAAGCUGUGCCGAUCUUCUUUCGUUGUAAAUAUGGACGUGGACGCGGCUUGAAUGUUAGCCAAGAGUCUCAAGGCCCAC
rnacentral:lncRNA from 1 species